rnacentral:rRNA from 1 species
AGUUACUGGGAUAGCCCGAGGAAACUCGGAUUAAUACCGGAUAUUCUUAUUUAAUCACAUGAUUUUUUAAGGAAAGGUCAGCCGAACUAAGAUGGGCUCGCGUUCUAUCAGCUAGUUGGUAGGGUAACGGCCUACCAAGGCUACGACGGAUAGCUGGUCUGAGAGGACGAUCAGCCACACUGGGACUGAGACACGGCCCAGACUCCUACGGGAGGCUGCAGCAGGGAAUAUUGUGCAAUGAACGAAAGUUUGACACAGCGACACCGCGUGUGGGAUGACGGAUCUAGGUUUGUAAACCACUUUCAGGAGGGAAGAAAAUGACGGUACCUCCACAAGAAGCCCCGGCCAACUACGUGCCAGCAGCCGCGGUAAUACGUAGGGGGCGAGCGUUGUCCGGAUUUAUUGGGCGUAAAGAGCUCGUAGGCGGUUCAACAAGUCGGUCGUGAAAGUUCAGGGCUUAACCCUGAAAUGUCGAUCGAUACUGUUGUGACUAGGAUAUGGUAGAGGUGAGUGGAAUUCCGAGUGUAGCGGUGAAAUGCGUAGAUAUUCGGAGGAACACCAAUUGCGAAGGCAGCUCACUGGGCCGCUAUCGACGCUGAGGAGCGAAAGCUAGGGGAGCAAACAGGAUUAGAUACCCUGGUAGUCCUAGCUGUAAACGAUGGAUACUAGAUGUAGGAAUUGGAUUGACGAUUUCUGUAUCGUAGCUAACGCGUUAAGUAUCCCGCCUGGGGAGUACGGUCGCAAGACUAAAACUCAAAGGAAUUGACGGGACCCCGCACAAGCGGCGGAGCAUGCGGCUUAAUUCGAUGAUACCCGUAGAACCUUACCUGGACUAGACAUAUAGGGAAAAGCUAUAGAAAUAUAGUGUGCGUAAGCGCCCUAUACAGGUGGUGCAUGGCUGUCGUCAGCUCGUGUCGUGAGAUGUU